CAAAACCACUAACUGAAAAGGGUCGAGGUACGUGUGUAUUAUAUAAAAGCCUCAGCCCAAAGUCUUGCUAUUUCUGGAAGUAACUGCGAGACAGACUUAAAGCACCCCCCUCACAUCUGCACGAGGGAUGCCGUUCCUCCGCCUGCUGCCCCCCAAGCACCAGCCCGCGCUCCAGUUCUGGGGUCAGGGCCCGGGAAGGUACUCACUGCAGACACAGGUCGGCCCUGGGUGGAGGGUCCCGCGCCUCUCCGAGCCGGCUGCCCGGGCAUCUGCCACCCGUGUCCCGCCCACCCCCCAGCCCGACCCUCGUCCUCCUCUGCCAUCCGCAACGCAAGACUCGGCCGCAACUAGAGGGUGCUCUCUGUGCCCCCACCCCGCGAGGGACGCAAGUCAACCCGUAAGAGGAAACAAGAUGGAAGGGAGAAGAAAACAAGAAACACUUCAAGAGAGGGAAGUGACAAAUACCAAAGGCAGCAAGUGAUGGGGAAAAAGAAUUGUGAAUGAAGACCAAGACCACAGUUUAACUUGCAAAUGUCAAGAAGGAUCUCGUAAUCCUUUGUUACUUUGUCAUUAAAAUAUUAGCUAGUUAUGGCCUAGAAGCUGGUUUGUAUGGACAGAAGGAAUCUAAUUAUUAACGUAGGAGCUACAAGCAAAGCAGUGAAGUACUGCUGAACAGCCUAUGCUGUGCACAGCCUGUGGGAUGGGUGAGAGCAAAGGCUGUGUAACAAGCAGUGCACCUAAAAAUGUGGCUUUUGUCCUUCCAUCUAUUCAAUGAAGAUAAGAAGUGACUGAAUUUGAGGCUCCCUGGGCCAUGAUACCCAUUUCUUCUCCGGCAGCCACCUGUAGUAUUAGGAGAGGGCCACUAAGUGGCACCCUCUCAUUAGUGUUGUCUUUCCGUGCGCGGCAACCUGCUUGCCCUGCCCUUCUGGACCAUCUAAUACAGUUAACUGUGCCGUGUUUGCUGACUGUGGCGUAGAGGCUUCUGCCCCCACCUCACUUCCCUGGC
rnacentral:lncRNA from 1 species